UACGGGGGGUGCGAGCGUUGUCCGGAAUCACUGGGCGUAAAGGGCGCGUAGGUGGUUUGAUAAGGGUGUGGUGAAAGCCCGGGGCUCAACCCCGGGUCUGCCGUGCCGACUGUCAAACUCGAGGGCUGUAGAGGCAGACGGAAUUCCGGGUGUAGCGGUAAUGCGUAGAGAUCCGGAGGAAGACCGGUGGCGAAGGCGGUCUGCUGGGCAGUUUCUGACACUGAGGCGCGACAGCGUGGGGAGCAAACAGG
rnacentral:rRNA from 1 species